rnacentral:rRNA from 1 species
UACGAAGGGGGGCUAGCGUUGCUCGGAAUCACUGGGCGUAAAGCGCACGUAGGCGGACUCUUAAGUCGGUGGUGAAAUCCUGGAGCUCAACUCCAGAACUGCCUUCGAUACUGGGAGUCUCGAGUCCGGGAGAGGUGAGUGGAACUGCGAGUGUAGAGGUGAAAUUCGUAGAUAUUCGCAAGAACACCAGUGGCGAAGGCGGCUCACUGGCCCGGUACUGACGCUGAGGUGCGAAAGCGUGGGGAGCCAAACAGGG